rnacentral:rRNA from 1 species
GGGUUGUGAGGUUAAGCGACUAAGCGUACACGGUGGAUGCCCUGGCAGUCAGAGGCGAUGAAGGGCGUGCUAAUCUGCGAUAAGCGCCGGUAAGGUGAUAUGAACCGUUAUAACCGGCGAUACCCGAAUGGGGAAACCCAGUGUGAUUCGUCACACUAUCAUUAACUGAAUCCAUAGGUUAAUGAGGCGAACCGGGGGAACUGAAACAUCUAAGUACCCCGAGGAAAAGAAAUCAACCGAGAUUCCCCCAGUAGCGGCGAGCGAACGGGGAGGAGCCCAGAGCCUGAAUCAGCAUGUGUGUUAGUGGAAGCGUCUGGAAAGGCGCGCGAUACAGGGUGACAGCCCCGUACACAAAAGCGCAUGUGCUGUGAGCUCGAUGAGUAGGGCGGGACACGUGGUAUCCUGUCUGAAUAUGGGGGGACCAUCCUCCAAGGCUAAAUACUCCUGACUGACCGAUAGUGAACCAGUACCGUGAGGGAAAGGCGAAAAGAACCCCGGCGAGGGGAGUGAAAAAGAACCUGAAACCGUGUACGUACAAGCAGUGGGAGCNNGUGACUGCGUACCUUUUGUAUAAUGGGUCAGCGACUUAUAUUCUGUAGCAAGGUUAACCGAAUAGGGGAGCCGGAGGGAAACCGAGUCUUAAUUGGGCGUUAAGUUGCAGGGUAUAGACCCGAAACCCGGUGAUCUAGCCAUGGGCAGGUUGAAGGUUGGGUAACACUAACUGGAGGACCGAACCGACUAAUGUUGAAAAAUUAGCGGAUGACCUGUGGCUGGGGGUGAAAGGCCAAUCAAACCGGGAGAUAGCUGGUUCUCCCCGAAAGCUAUUUAGGUAGCGCCUCGUGAAUUCAUCUCCGGGGGUAGAGCACUGUUUCGGCUAGGGGGCCAUCCCGGCUUACCAACCCGAUGCAAACUGCGAAUACCGGAGAAUGUUAUCACGGGAGACACACGGCGGGUGCUAACGUCCGUCGUGAAGAGGGAAACAACCCAGACCGCCAGCUAAGGUCCCAAAGUCAUGGUUAAGUGGGAAACGAUGUGGGAAGGCCCAGACAGCCAGGAUGUUGGCUUAGAAGCAGCCAUCAUUUAAAGAAAGCGUAAUAGCUCACUGGUCGAGUCGGCCUGCGCGGAAGAUGUAACGGGGCUAAACCAUGCACCGAAGCUGCGGCAGCGACACUGUGUGUUGUUGGGUAGGGGAGCGUUCUGUAAGCCUGCGAAGGUGGCCUGUGAGGGUUGCUGGAGGUAUCAGAAGUGCGAAUGCUGACAUAAGUAACGAUAAAGCGGGUGAAAAGCCCGCUCGCCGGAAGACCAAGGGUUCCUGUCCAACGUUAAUCGGGGCAGGGUGAGUCGACCCCUAAGGCGAGGCCGAAAGGCGUAGUCGAUGGGAAACGGGUUAAUAUUCCCGUACUUGGUGUUACUGCGAAGGGGGGACGGAGAAGGCUAUGUUGGCCGGGCGACGGUUGUCCCGGUUUAAGCGUGUAGGUGUGUGUUCCAGGUAAAUCCGGUUCACUUUAACACUGAGGCGUGACGACGAGGCACUACGGUGCUGAAGCAACAAAUGCCCUGCUUCCAGGAAAAGCCUCUAAGCAUCAGGUAACAUCAAAUCGUACCCCAAACCGACACAGGUGGUCAGGUAGAGAAUACCAAGGCGCUUGAGAGAACUCGGGUGAAGGAACUAGGCAAAAUGGUGCCGUAACUUCGGGAGAAGGCACGCUGACACGUAGGUGAAGUGAUUUACUCAUGGAGCUGAAGUCAGUCGAAGAUACCAGCUGGCUGCAACUGUUUAUUAAAAACACAGCACUGUGCAAACACGAAAGUGGACGUAUACGGUGUGACGCCUGCCCGGUGCCGGAAGGUUAAUUGAUGGGGUCAGCGCAAGCGAAGCUCCUGAUCGAAGCCCCGGUAAACGGCGGCCGUAACUAUAACGGUCCUAAGGUAGCGAAAUUCCUUGUCGGGUAAGUUCCGACCUGCACGAAUGGCGUAAUGAUGGCCAGGCUGUCUCCACCCGAGACUCAGUGAAAUUGAACUCGCUGUGAAGAUGCAGUGUACCCGCGGCAAGACGGAAAGACCCCGUGAACCUUUACUAUAGCUUGACACUGAACAUUGAGCCUUGAUGUGUAGGAUAGGUGGGAGGCUUUGAAGUGUGGACGCCAGUCUGCAUGGAGCCGACCUUGAAAUACCACCCUUUAAUGUUUGAUGUUCUAACGUGGACCCGUUACCCGGGUUGCGGACAGUGUCUGGUGGGUAGUUUGACUGGGGCGGUCUCCUCCUAAAGAGUAACGGAGGAGCACGAAGGUUGGCUAAUCCUGGUCGGACAUCAGGAGGUUAGUGCAAUGGCAUAAGCCAGCUUGACUGCGAGCGUGACGGCGCGAGCAGGUGCGAAAGCAGGUCAUAGUGAUCCGGUGGUUCUGAAUGGAAGGGCCAUCGCUCAACGGAUAAAAGGUACUCCGGGGAUAACAGGCUGAUACCGCCCAAGAGUUCAUAUCGACGGCGGUGUUUGGCACCUCGAUGUCGGCUCAUCACAUCCUGGGGCUGAAGUAGGUCCCAAGGGUAUGGCUGUUCGCCAUUUAAAGUGGUACGCGAGCUGGGUUUAGAACGUCGUGAGACAGUUCGGUCCCUAUCUGCCGUGGGCGCUGGAGAACUGAGGGGGGCUGCUCCUAGUACGAGAGGACCGGAGUGGACGCAUCACUGGUGUUCGGGUUGUCAUGCCAAUGGCACUGCCCGGUAGCUAAAUGCGGAAGAGAUAAGUGCUGAAAGCAUCUAAGCACGAAACUUGCCCCGAGAUGAGUUCUCCCUGAGACUUAAAGUCUCCUGAAGGAACGUUGAAGACGACGACGUUGAUAGGCCGGGUGUGUAAGCGCAGCGAUGCGUUGAGCUAACCGGUACUAAUGAACCGUGAGGCUUAACCUUACAACGCCGAAG